rnacentral:snRNA from 1 species
GUGCCCCUGUUUUGACAGCCCAUGUAGUACAGUUGGAAGGACACAGAGAAGGUCAGCCUGGCCCCAGGGCAAGGAUGACAUGCAGAUGUGGGGGAAGCAUCCCAGGGUUUG